GAUGAAGAACGUAGCGAAAUGCGAUAAGUAGUGUGAAUUGCAGAUUUCAGUGAAUCAUCGAAUCUUUGAACGCACAUUGCGCCCCUUGGUAUUCCGAGGGGCAUGCCUGUUCGAGCGUCAUUAUAACCCCUCAAGCUCAGCUUGGUGUUGGGGCCUGCUGCACUGGCAGCCCUUAAAAUCAGUGGCGGCGCCAUCUGGCUCUAAGCGUAGUAAUUCUUCUCGCUAUGGAGUCCUGGUGGAUGCUUGCCAUCAACCCCCAAUUUUUCUAUGGUUGACCUCGGAUCAGGUAGGGAUACCCGCUGAACUUAAGCAUAUCAAUAAGCGGAGGA
rnacentral:misc_RNA from 1 species